ensembl:rRNA 5S_rRNA 5S ribosomal RNA
GACUGCAGCCAUACCACCCUGAGCAUGCCCGAUCUCGCAAGCUAAGCAGGGUUGGGCUUGGUUAGUAGUUGAAUGAGAGACCACCUGGGAAUACCAGGCGCUGUGGCUC